CUUGACAUCCAGAGAAUUUAGCAGAGAUGCUUUAGUGCCUUCGGGAACUCUGAGACAGGUGCUGCAUGGCUGUCGUCAGCUCGUGUUGUGAAAUGUCGGGUUAAGUCCGCAACGAGCGCAACCCUUAUCCUUUGUUGCCAGCACGUAAUGGUGGGAACUCAAAGGAGACUGCCGGUGAUAAACCGGAGGAAGGUGGGGAUGACGUCAAGUUAUCAUGGCCCUUACGAGUAGGGCUACACACGUGCUACAAUGGCGCAUACAAAGAGAAGCGACCUCGCGAGAGCAAGCGGACCUCAUAAAGUGCGUCGUAGUCCGGAUUGGAGUCUGCAACUCGACUCCAUGAAGUCGGAAUCGCUAGUAAUCGUAAAUCAGAAUGUUACGGUGAAUACGUUCCCGGGCCUUGUACACACCGCCCGUCACACCAUGGGAGUGGGUUGCAAAAGAAGUAGAUAGCUUAACCUUCGGGAGGGCGUUUACCACUUUGUGAUUCAUGACUGGGGUGAAGUCGUAACAAGGUAAGCGUAGUGCU
rnacentral:rRNA from 1 species